UGGCAAGGUUGACAUAGCUUUUACUGAUUUGUCUGUUUUAGUAGGUAAAUGGGGCUGCCAGUCUGGCAGUUUGCAUUGGCAAUAAAUCACCACUAGACAUUUUAUUUAAAAAUUGGCACUGGCUUGGCGGAGGUAAGGGAUUGUCAAUUUGUUUUUAUUUUGAGGCCAGGCACAAUCAUAACAUACACAGGCCACCUGGAAAC
ensembl:misc_RNA